UACGUAGGGGGGCAAGCGUUGUCCGGAUUUAUUGGGCGUAAAGAGCGUGUAGGCGGCCUUACAGGUCAGCUGUGAAAGUCACAGGCUCAACCUGUGAAUGCCGCUGGAAACUGUCUGGCUUGAGUCCGGAAGGGGCGAGUGGAAUUCCUGGUGUAGCGGUGAAAUGCGCAGAUAUCAGGAGGAACACCAAUGGCGAAGGCAGCUCGCUGGAACGGUACUGACGCUGAGGCGCGAAAGCGUGGGGAGCGAACAGG
rnacentral:rRNA from 1 species